rnacentral:lncRNA from 1 species
CAGUAUAUAAAAAGUAGUCAUGAUUUUAUGACUGGAUUGUAUUGUAUUAUAUAUGAUUAUAAUUACCUCAUUCAUGCAGGGGAAUCUCUUCUCACUCUCCAGUCUGGAAGGAGGAGGUACCUCAGCCUCAUUGGGCUGGUCUAGGGACAGAGCAUCCAGGAACAGGCUCUCUGGGGGUCGGUGAGCCUCACUCGGCCGUAACUUUGCUGCUCCUGCUUCCUCUAGAAUAGCCUCUGAGUCUGAGUGGGAGCGGGAUGGUACACAAGGAGCUGCGCGGGGGGAGCGCGGAGAUCUGGGAGCUUUACAUGGACUUUCCUGAGGAGAAAAGACGUGCGGGACUCCAGUUUCUCCCAGAGGAACUCCCUCUGAGUGACGGAACGGCAGCUCCCGCUGCAUCUACAGAGCAGAGGUCUCGAACACUGCGGUCCCACUCCUGCCGCUCCCUCUCGAACCUCUCCAGCAGUUCAGUCCUCUCCCUGCUCCAGCGCAGCUCCCCGUGAUGCAGCUUCCAGCGCAGCUCCAGUGCCAGGCUGUGGCUGUCAGCCAGAAGCUUCUGCUGCUCCUCACGCUCACGCUCCUGCUGAGAUGAGUCUGCCCCAUCCGCCGACCCUGAAGCUCCAGCUCUCGUGUCUUCCAGCUACAAGGAGAAACACACACACACACACACACAGGCAGUGAGAGAUAAGAAUUUCUCUGUCUUGUACCUCCAAGUUACAGAUGUCCUAGUAGCAAAAUAUCCUUCAAUAGAAGGCAAGAAACUUUAAUUAAAAGUUCAUAGAAACCUGCAGGGAAAAACGGAAUAAUAUGAGAUAAAAUUCCAAUCAAUGAAUUUUACAAAGGGGCAGGCUGGGACUGUAAACACUCAUGGCUAUGAGAUUAUCUUCCCAUUGAUCGUCUUCUGUGUUCUGAAGUUCUUUUCCAUAACAGUUAACUGUAAAAUGCUUCGAUAAAAAAUUAAUUCAGUAUCCGCUUCAAAUGAUUCAGUAUAUAGUGCAAACGAUUCUGUAAAAACUACAAAUGAGUCAUGAAUGAAUCUACAAAAUGAUUCAUCUAAUGUAUCUAAUGCAAAUGAUUCUGUAUAAACUCAAAAUGAUUCAUUACUGAAUCUAUAAAUAAUUCAGUAUGUACUAAAAAGACUCACUAACUACUAUACAUGAUUCAGUAGCUUACAAAUAAUGCAGUCUGCUAUAAAUGAUCAGAUAUUUACUAUAAAUGAGUACCUACAAUAAAUGAUUUAGUAUCUUAUACA